AUGGCGCUUCUCAAGGACCCGAGAGCUCUCUUUUUGGCGGCCAUUGUGGUGAUCGCUAUGGUCAUUCCAUCAUGCUAUAUUGUACAAGCUAUAGGUGCAGGGGUGUGCAACCAGGUCUUUCCAUGCACGGAAAACACGUGCAAAAUCUAUUGCCAGAAGUUGGGGUACAAGGACUCCAAGGCACAGUACAAGCCUGGGAACCUGAAGAAAGGUGUUUCUUAUGACAACUGUUGA
rnacentral:rRNA from 1 species